UACGGAGGGUGCGAGCGUUGUCCGGAAUCACUGGGCGUAAAGGGCGCGUAGGCGGCGCAACAAGUCACUUGUGAAAUCUCCGGGCUUAACCCGGAGCGGUCAAGUGAUACUGUCGUGCUAGAGUGCGGAAGGGGCUACUGGAAUUCUCGGUGUAGCGGUGAAAUGCGUAGAUAUCGAGAGGAACACCUGCGGCGAAGGCGGGUAGCUGGGCCGACACUGACGCUGGAGGUGCGAAAGCGUGGGGAGCAAACAGG
rnacentral:rRNA from 1 species